rnacentral:lncRNA from 1 species
CUAGUCUUUCCAGUGCCACAAUUAUAUAUAUCUCCUUCUAUGUAUCUUGUUAAUCUGUUGCACUCUAUGAAUAUUGUUUUUCAUAAUACUUUAGCCUAAUAUUCAAAGAAAAUAAGAACAUUAAAAUUAUAAGAUUAAUUUUUUUUGCUCCAAUAUUUCGAAAGAAAUAAGAAAAUGAAAAAGCAAAGCAGAUCGUGAAUCACUAAAAAUAAAACUCAGUAGAAGUAAAAUUAUAAAAUAAUCAAAAGUGUCAUACGUAUGACAAAUACUUGCCUCCAUCUCUUUCAUAUAAAUUAUGAAGAAUACUUACCUAUUGCUUUUCUCUCGUUCAUCAUUUGAUUGUAUAUGUUCUAGAAUUUCUUACAUAAGAAAUGAAGUUGGUUAACGUUAAUGAUUGACAGUGAGAAAAAAGUUACGGGAAGUGGGAGUACUUUUUUUGUGGUUUGUAAGUUUUAUUCUUUUCUUUCAUAAUUUUUAAAUUGAAAAUAAAAAAUCGUUUUUGAGUAAAUUUAGGAAUCUGCAAAUGUGGGAGUGAAGUUGAUUAGAGUAUUCUUUAUUAUAGGAAUUCAAAAGGUAAUUUAACCGUGAGUUGUUAUUUUUUUUUAUAUUUGUAAAUUUUGCACUUUUUUUUUCUUCAGAUUUUGAAUUAAUUUUGAUAAAUUAUAUAUUCUAUUUUUUGUGUUGUUGUUGUGGUCUUUUAUGUUUGAAAUUUAUAAUAUUAAAUUAAUUUGGUAAUAUCAAAUUUUAUAAUUGGUUUUUGUUAUUUAAUACUUAUUUGUUUUUUUUUUCUAUUUUUCUUUUUCUUUUAUGUUUUUUUUAUAAAAAAAAGUGCUUAUCCCAUAAAUAAAAUUUUAAUUCGAAAUGUAUUGAAAGUCUGAUAUAAUGUAUUGGGCAGUUUAAAUCUGUCGAUUUAAAUUUAAAUAUCAAUUAGUAAAUAUAUUUAUUCUUAAAAGAAAGUACAUGACAUAUUUUAGUUGGUUACUAUUUUUUUAUAUAUUCAAAGGAAAUAUAUAAACAAUAGAAGUUUCUAUAAUAAAAUCUUACGUAAAGUUUUUUAACACUUCAAGGAAGAACAUGACAACAUAAAAUUUUUAACAUUUUUUGUUUAUAUUAUGGAAAUGUUUAUAUUCGUAUAAUAUUUUAUUUACAAUUCAUGUUAAAUUAAGGUAAAUUCAGAUUAUUUUUGUAUAUCACUUAAAUAGUGCUUUAAAGUUAUAUAAUGUUAAUUUCUAUUAUUAUUUUUAAAUAUGUCACGUUAAUUUAAAAAACUGCUUCAAAAUUUCUAAUUUGAUUUUCAAAUUGUAAUGUAUUAUUUAAAUUAACUACAUAUAAUUAUUUUUAAUAAUUUUAAUUGUAUAGAAAUUUGAAAAUUUAUGUGGUGCUAAUAGAUGUCACUUCUUACUACUCCUAUUAGAUACAAAUUGAAGAUAUAUAUAAAGGGAAUUUUCAAAGUAAAGUAAAAAUCUAUAAUUAUGCAUAAGCAAAUCUAUUUGAAUCUUAUUUUUUUUACACAGAUUAUUUUUCUUCUAAAAUUAGAUUUUUAAUAUUUUAAAAUUGAAUUUUUUAUUAUAUGAUAUUUAAAAAAUAAUUAUGAUAUUAACAUUUGUUAAUACUUUUAAAAUAAUUAAAUAUGUUUUUUUUGUUGUAUAUUUUCAUUUUUUAUUUUAAUCAGUAGUGAUGGCAAUUAAUAUAUUUUAAUCAGUAGUGAUGACAAAUUUUUAAAAAGACUACCGAUUCCACAAUUUUUUAACUGCCAUCAUACGGUUUUUUCUUCUUUUGGAAUUUCAAAUACAAUUUUGAUUUUAAAUUUUUAAAAAGACUACUGAUUCCACAAAUUUUUAACUGCCAUCAUACGGUUUUUUUUUGGAAUUUCAAAUACAAUUUUGAUUUUUUUUUUUAAAAUACUGUUUUGUUUUUGUUUUUUAAAUUGUUAUUUAUUAUUUAAUAUCUACUAAUUUUGUGGUGCUGACAUGUGGCAGUUUUUCUUCUCUUAUUAUAUAUAGAUAGAUUGUGGACCAAAAAGGUGGAUGAACGGGUAUUUUUAACCCAAUAGGUGAAUGAGGGGUAUUUUUAAGGGGAACUUUCACAUAUAGCCACUCAAAAAUAGCAUAAUUACUCUCCAUAGUUAUAGUUUGAUAAUUAUAAUUCGUAGCUACAUGUUAUAUGGAGGAGAGAGGCGAGCGAGACUGGGAGAGAGAGGAGAGAGGUGAGAGAGAAGGGGCAAAGAGUGGGAGAAAGGUGAACUGUAUAUGUAUAUAGGUUAGAUAAUUGUAUAUUAUACAUAAGUAUUUGUAUAUAUGGCAAGCGAGAUUGGGAGAGGGAGGAGAGAGGCGAGCGAGACUGGGAGAGAGAGGAGAGAGGUGAGAGAGAAGGGCAAGAGUGGGAGAAAGGUGAACUGUAUAUGUAUAUAGGUUAGAUAAUUGUAUAUUAUACAUAUGUAUUUGUAUAUAUGGCAAGCGAGAUUGGGAGAGGGAGGAGAGAGGCGAGCGAGAGAGGGCAGAGAGUGGGAGAGAGGUAAUUGUAUAUGUAUAUAGGUUAGACAAUUGUAUAUUAUACAUAUAUAUUUGUAUAUUCUGGGGAAUUAUACAUAUAUAAAUGUGGUAAAUUAUACAAACUCGAAGUCAGCCCGCGUAAUUAAUGUAUAAUGUUAGUCGUGAGUGGUAAUUAUAACAAACUAUAGCUAUGAUGAGUAAUUAAGUAGUAUAAGUUUACUUAACAACGUAAUUUUCCCUAUUUUUAAACCUUUUCGAAUAGUCCAAGAAUUAUUUUUGUCCUUUUCCGAUUAUUAAACUAUCUUUUCUUAAAAGUAAGCGGUUAAUUAAUUUUUUUUUAAUCUUUCCAAAAGCCUUCAAUAUAUACUAAAAAUGAUUAAAAAUAAAAAAUAGUACUUGUAUAUAAAAAUAAGCUAAAUGCAAACGGGCACAAUGCACCUAAAGACAGCAAACCGUUGGAUUAUUAAAAAUACUUGAGACUGGUUGGAGGAUUUGACAGAGAAGAUAAAAAGAAACAAGUGCACGCAAUAAAUGUGAAACGAAAAUAGGGCAUAUUCCAUUACCAAUUGUUGUCUUCUUGAUGGGAUUACGAGUUGUUGUACAGUUGCAAUUCCAGCUAAUGUUUAUCUGAAUUUGGCAGAUCAAUUCUAUAUUAGAGUGCAGGAUUGCUUUGUAAUUGCUA